CCUACGGGAGGCAGCAGUGGGGAAUAUUGCACAAUGGGGGAAACCCUGAUGCAGCGACGCCGCGUGAGUGAAGAAGUAAUUCGUUACGUAAAGCUCUAUCAGCAGGGAAGAAAAUGACGGUACCUGAGUAAGAAGCCCCGGCUAACUACGUGCCAGCAGCCGCGGUAAUACGUAGGGGGCAAGCGUUAUCCGGAUUUACGGGGUGGAAAGGGAGCGUAGACGGUGCGCCAAGUCUGGAGUGAAAUGCCGCAGCUUAACUGCGGAACUGCUUUGGAAACUGGCGAACUAGAGUGCGGGAGGGGUAAGCGGAAUGCGUGGUGUAGCGGUGAAAUGCGUAGAUAUUAGGAAGAACACCGGUGGCGAAGGCAGCUUACUGGACCGUAACUGACGUUGAGGCUCGAAAGCGUGGGGAGCAAACAGGAUUAGAUACCCGGGUAGUC
rnacentral:rRNA from 1 species